rnacentral:rRNA from 1 species
AAAGUGGAGCAAUCCAUGAGUAGAGUGGCAAACGGGUGAGUAACGCGUGGGUGACCUGCCUUCGAGUGGGGGAUAACGCUCCGAAAGGGACGCUAAUACCGCAUAACAUCCCGCCUUUUAAGAGGUGGAAAUCAAAGCCUGGGACCGCAAGGCCAGGCGCUGGAAGAGGGGCCCGCGUCUGAUUAGCUAGUUGGUGGGGUAAUGGCUCACCAAGGCUUCGAUCAGUAUCCGGCCUGAGAGGGCGGACGGACACACUGGGACUGAGACACGGCCCAGACUCCUACGGGAGGCAGCAGUGGGGAAUUGUUCGCAAUGGGCGCAAGCCUGACGACGCAACGCCGCGUGGAGGAUGAAGAUCUUCGGGUCGUAAACUCCUUUCGAUCGAGACGAACGGCCUCUGGGUGAACAAUCCAGAGGAGUGACGGUACCGAGAGAAGAAGCCCCGGCUAACUCCGUGCCAGCAGCCGCGGUAAUACGGGGGGGGCAAGCGUUGUUCGGAAUUACUGGGCGUAAAGGGCUCGUAGGUGGCCAACUAAGUCAGACGUGAAAUCCCUCGGCUUAACCGGGGAACUGCGUCUGAUACUGGAUGGCUUGAGUUUGGGAGAGGGACGCGGAAUUCCAGGUGUAGCGGUGAAAUGCGUAGAUAUCUGGAGGAACACCGGUGGCGAAGGCGGCGUCCUGGACCAACACUGACACUGAUGAGCGAAAGCCAGGGGAGCAAACGGGAUUAGAUACCCCGGUAGUCCUGGCCCUAAACGAUGAAUGCUUGGUGUGGCGGGUAUCGAUCCCUGCCGUGCCGAAGCUAACGCA